rnacentral:rRNA from 1 species
GUCCACGCCGUAAACGAUGAUAACUAGCUGUCGGGGGCCAUGGGCUUUCGGUGGCGCAGCUAACGCAUUAAGUUAUCCGCCUGGGGGAGUACGGCCGCAAGGUUAAAACUCAAAGAAAUUGACGGGGGCCUGCACAAGCGGUGGAGCAUGUGGUUUAAUUCGAAGCAACGCGCAGAACCUUACCAGCGUUUGACAUCCUCAUCGCGGAUUUCAGAGAUGAUUUCCUUCAGUUCGGCUGGAUGAGUGACAGGUGCUGCAUGGCUGUCGU